CUCCUAUGGACAUUCGAAGACGGUCGCUUUUGCCGAGUGCAGUUCCAACAUUAUUGUUACCAAAAACGGAAAAUAGUGACAAUGAAAGUAAUAUGGACUUCAAAGUCAUAGCCGAAGAUUUUCCGCUUCCCGUCACGAAAAUGUACAUGCAGUCUUCCGAGUUACUCGUCAGCCCUGAUGAUCCAUCGAAUAUACAGGAAUGUAUGAUAGAUGUAGAAUCACCAGGGUCGAUUUAGAAGUAAUUGAAGGCUGGAGGAAACAUAUGCAAUGUGUCGAACGCCACCAAAAACAAGAAAAAAA
rnacentral:lncRNA from 13 species